rnacentral:rRNA from 1 species
AUGAACGCUAGCUACAGGCUUAACACAUGCAAGUCGAGGGGCAGCAUGAACUUAGCUUGCUAAGUUUGAUGGCGACCGGCGCACGGGUGAGUAACACGUAUCCAACCUGCCGAUGACUCGGGGAUAGCCUUUCGAAAGAAAGAUUAAUACCCGAUGGCAUAGUUCUUCCGCAUGGUAGAACUAUUAAAGAAUUUCGGUCAUCGAUGGGGAUGCGUUCCAUUAGGUUGUUGGCGGGGUAACGGCCCACCAAGCCUUCGAUGGAUAGGGGUUCUGAGAGGAAGGUCCCCCACAUUGGAACUGAGACACGGUCCAAACUCCUACGGGAGGCAGCAGUGAGGAAUAUUGGUCAAUGGACGAGAGUCUGAACCAGCCAAGUAGCGUGAAGGAUGACUGCCCUAUGGGUUGUAAACUUCUUUUAUACGGGAAUAAAGUGAGGCACGUGUGCCUUUUUGUAUGUACCGUAUGAAUAAGGAUCGGCUAACUCCGUGCCAGCAGCCGCGGUAAUACGGAGGAUCCGAGCGUUAUCCGGAUUUAUUGGGUUUAAAGGGAGCGUAGGCGGACGCUUAAGUCAGUUGUGAAAGUUUGCGGCUCAACCGUAAAAUUGCAGUUGAUACUGGGUGUCUUGAGUACAGUAGAGGCAGGCGGAAUUCGUGGUGUAGCGGUGAAAUGCUUAGAUAUCACGAAGAACUCCGAUUGCGAAGGCAGCUUGCUGGACUGUAACUGACGCUGAUGCUCGAAAGUGUGGGUAUCAAACAGGAUUAGAUACCCUGGUAGUCCACACAGUAAACGAUGAAUACUCGCUGUUUGCGAUAUACAGUAAGCGGCCAAGCGAAAGCGUUAAGUAUUCCACCUGGGGAGUACGCCGGCAACGGUGAAACUCAAAGGAAUUGACGGGGGCCCGCACAAGCGGUGGAGCAUGUGGUUUAAUUCGAAGCAACGCGAAGAACCUUACCAGGACUUGACAUCCCUCUGACAGAGCCUUAACCGGCUCCUUCUUCGGACAGAGGAGACAGGUGGUGCAUGGUUGUCGUCAGCUCGUGUCGUGAGAUGUUGGGUUAAGUCCCGCAACGAGCGCAACCCUUGCUAUUAGUUGCUACGCAAGAGCACUCUAAUAGGACUGCCGUUGACAAAACGGAGGAAGGUGGGGACGACGUCAAAUCAUCAUGCCCCUUAUGACCUGGGCUACACACGUACUACAAUGGCUGUAACAGAGGGAAGCAACAUAGAGAUGUGAAGCAAAUCCCAAAAAGCAGUCUCAGUUCGGAUUGAAGGCUGAAAUUCGCCUUCAUGAAGCCGGAAUUGCUAGUAAUGGCAGGUCAGCAUACUGCCGUGAAUACGUUCCCGGGCCUUGUACACACCGCCCGUCACACCAUGGGAGUGGGUUGCAAAAGAAGUAGGUAGCUUAACCUUCGGGAGGGCGCUUACCACUUUGUGAUUCAUGACUGGGGUG